rnacentral:rRNA from 1 species
ACUGACUGACCGAUAGUGAACCAGUACCGUGAGGGAAAGGCGAAAAGAACCCCGGCGAGGGGAGUGAAACAGAACCUGAAACCGUGUACGUACAAGCAGUGGGAGCACCUUCGUGGUGUGACUGCGUACCUUUUGUAUAAUGGGUCAGCGACUUAUAUUCUGUAGCAAGGUUAACCGUAUAGGGGAGCCGCAGGGAAACCGAGUCUUAACUGGGCGUUAAGUUGCAGGGUAUAGACCCGAAACCCGGUGAUCUAGCCA